GCGGGAAUAGCUCAGAGGUAGAGCACAACCUUGCCAAGGUUGGGGUCGCGGGUUCAAAUCCCGUUUCCCGCUCCA
rnacentral:tRNA from 1 species